rnacentral:rRNA from 1 species
AACGAACGCUGGCGGCAUGCCUAACACAUGCAAGUCGAACGAAGCCUUCGGGCUUAGUGGCGCACGGGUGCGUAACGCGUGGGAAUCUGCCCUUGGGUUCGGAAUAACAGUUAGAAAUGACUGCUAAUACCGGAUGAUGUCUUCGGACCAAAGAUUUAUCGCCCAAGGAUGAGCCCGCGUAGGAUUAGCUAGUUGGUGGGGUAAUGGCCCACCAAGGCGACGAUCCUUAGCNGGUCUGAGAGGAUGAUCAGCCACACUGGGACUGAGACACGGCCCAGACUCCUACGGGAGGCAGCAGUGGGGAAUAUUGGACAAUGGGCGCAAGCCUGAUCCAGCAAUGCCGCGUGAGUGAUGAAGGCCUUCGGUUGUAAGACUCUUUCGCACGCGACGAUGAUGACGGUAGCGUGAGAAGAAGCCCGGC